rnacentral:rRNA from 1 species
CCAGACUCCUACGGGAGGCAGCAGUGAGGAAUAUUGGUCAAUGGCCGCAGGGCUGAACCAGCCAAGUCGCGUGAGGGAGGACGGCCCUACGGGUUGUAAACCUCUUUUGCCGGGGAGCAACGGGCGUCACGUGUGGCGCCACUGAGAGUACCCGGAGAAAAGGCAUCGGCUAACUCCGUGCCAGCAGCCGCGGUAAUACGGAGGAUGCGAGCGUUAAUCGGAAUUACUGGGCGUAAAGGGUGUGCAGGCGGUUUUGCAAGAUGGAUGUGAAAGCCCCGGGCUUAACCUGGGAAAGCCAUACAUGACUGCAAGACUAGAGUGCGUCAGAGGGGGGUGGAAUUCCAAGUGUAGCAGUGAAAUGCGUAGAUAUUUGGAAGAACACCGAUGGCGAAGGCAGCCCCCUGGGACGCAACUGACGCUCAUACACGAAAGCGUGGGGAGCAAACAGGAUUAGAUACCCCGGUA